UCCCCGAUCGUCUAACGGCAGGACAACAGACUCUGAAUCUGUGAAUUGUGGUUCGAAUCCACAUCGGGGAACCA
rnacentral:tRNA from 2 species